UACGAAGGGGGCUAGCGUUGCUCGGAAUCACUGGGCGUAAAGGGUGCGUAGGCGGGUUUUUAAGUCAGGGGUGAAAUCCUGGAGCUCAACUCCAGAACUGCCUUUGAUACUGAAAAUCUUGAGUCCGGGAGAGGUGAGUGGAACUGCGAGUGUAGAGGUGAAAUUCGUAGAUAUUCGCAAGAACACCAGUGGCGAAGGCGGCUCACUGGCCCGGUACUGACGCUGAGGCACGAAGGCUGGGGUAGCGAACAGG
rnacentral:rRNA from 1 species